GCAGAGAGGAAUAAACAAACGUAAAUAUAUAAAAUGAAUAACCAGAACUCAACAGUGACUGUCACUUCCUCUCCAGCUCUCAAUAAAGCAGGUUUAUCCGCCUGCAGCUCGGCUCGCAGUUCCCCCCGUCUCGUCACCUGGUCACAGUUUAAUGGGAUUAUGAUGCUGCACUUCAGAGCCACGGCAGCUUAAUGUGGGUUGACAGUAUCACUGAAUGGCAGUGUGGCCCAGCAACCCGCCACUCAGUCGCUAUUUACUGUGCCAUCACCACCGCCGUCCCUCCCGCUCCCUAAUCCUGGCCAAUGGACGUCAGCGCUCUAAUGCACUUCAAGGAACGGAUCAGCUACCCAGUAACAGUCGGCAGUGGAUUUGCACCGAGGUGACGUGAUGCAAACAUGUCCCAGCUAAAACAGGCGAACAGGUCCAGAUAUCUGCAGGGAAACACCAGCUUCCCAACCAUCUUAUUUUAUUCAUACAAGCUUCUUUUUUUAGCAUUUAGUUUUACACCAUUCAGUCAGGAUAGUUUCUUUUCCAGACCAAAACAAGUCAGACCAAUUCUGAACAAUUCAUCUGACCGAAGACGAUGGGGUCCUUCGCUUGGAGACACAAAGUGUCUUUUUUUAAUUUGAGUCUAAUUGGGUUAACAAAUGGGUCAUUAAAAAUGGAGCACAGGGACCAGAGAGACUAUAAUAGCUUCUUUUUACGGUCUGCAAGGACUGGAUGAUUGUCAGAGUUAUGAAUACUCUUAGGAUAAAUCACUGUUAACUGUUUGAUGAUGGCAACAAGCUGCAAGUGUUUGAUACAGAAUGUGUCCUAGUGAUCCAUAACUUAAAUACAAACAGAUCCAGUCUAUAUUUUUAGAUUUAUUUUUCUAGGAGCUCCUAUCACAUAUUUUUCAAAACGAUUUCAUGUGGUUGUAUGUGAUAUUGAUGAGCAGUCAGCAUCUUAAAAAGCCCAGAGUACUUUAGCAUUUUUAACAUUGGCAAAGUGCCUUGCCUACAAACUCAUCAUCCCUGUUCAAAACACUAAUUUUCAGCUAUUAUUUUCAGCUACUAUUUCACCAAUAUUAAAAGUUCAGCUUAUUAACAACAAAGAAGCCUAAUCUGAGUAUUGGAGACAUAAGGUAACAAAGGCGUUAAGGAAGUUGUCUAAUUAUGUCCUUUUGUAGUGUGAGCGACGCUUCUAGGUUACAGGUUACAAAAAUUAAAAGCAACACUUCGUGAAGUUUUCUCACCAACUCCAAACUCAAAAAUCCAACGAGGUUUCAAAGUGCAUAAAACAUCGUGAAAGAUACGGUUUGUUUGUGCUUCUGAUGGUUUUUGUCUGAUUUAAUCUUUCUGCACUCAUAUUUUCCACAUUUAUUAACAGAGUCGCCUCUCUGGAAGGGUCCAUUGGUUGCCAUAUUGCUGCCAACAAUGUCACGAUCUCCUGAGACGAUGCACUCGGUCCCAGUUUUUAUCCUACUGCUUGUUCCACUGCCUCAUAGUUUAUCCGUUUAGCUGCUCCACCGACGAAGCUACUGCUGCUCUCAACCAUGUGGACACAGAAAGGUGUUUGUGUGGCUCUCUUCUUCCUGUUAAAGGAUGAACUUGCCUUCACAUGGCUGCUCUGUACGAGGAAUUGCUGCAAAGUCAAAGACUCCCUGCAAUCAGCUAACUUUUACCCAUUUAACUUAUAACUCGGAGCAAUCUGAGAUCUGAAUUUCAGUCCGUCUUUAAAAUGUGUUAGACUAUCGUAGACGAUUAUAUGUUACUAAUCCAAACUGCAUGUUUGACAUGAGGUUUUUUUUUGUGAACUUGCUGCUGUUUACACAUCACCUGAACAAUCAAUGUGAGCGAAUUACGUUGAUUUUCCGACUCGAAGCAGGAAUACGGUUCAGAGAGUUGUGUUGCCAAGGUGCGAUUUCUUAAGACAUUUCACACCACAGACACCUCGUGAUCUAGGGGAAUUGCAAAUAAACCCUUCACGUCUUUUUAAAGUCAGAAAACAUUUUAGAAAGCAUAAAGAUGGAUGCAGAUGCCUGGAGGAUUCAUUCGAGCUCUCCCAGGCCUUGCUGAAAUAAAACGCCCACCUUGGCGCCGUACUGUGGGAAAACCUUCGAGUGUGUUAAUCCCCUGAGCCCCAUUGUUCACAGAGGGACAGAUUUGGAUAUCUAAUGACAAACACUAAAGUGUGAUUGCAACAUGAAGGAAAGUGGUGUGCUUUUUUUUUUUUUUUUGCUGGUGCUUGACUCAGUGGGGCGGUUCCAUUGGAGACGUGACAGCGUGCGUACACAGACUCUGCUGCUGCUGGGACAUUACAGACUUUUUUUCCAAUAAGCAUAAGAAACUUAUGUCAUCUUCAGCUGUAAAAAGCUGCAUUUUGUCCUCACUUCCUCGUCCCUCCUCUCUGUUUCACACAGGUGUGGCUCUGUAAUGUUAGACGUCUUACGGACAGCAAGUCUUUUUUGUUUAGCUGGAUUUAUACAUGCUACCCGAGAAACAAGGGGUUAAGAAAGUAUAGCACUUAAAAGAUGAAAGAAAACAAAAAAAAAAGAAGGGGCAAUACUGAGUAUGUAUUGUCCUGCACACAAACACCCAGAACAUUAAGGCCCUGGUCAGUGGUGAGGAAUUUUUGGGCGCAGAUCUGGAUUGGCUGUCAGGGUCUGGCAGCAAACGCAGAGCUGGGAUGUUAGAGAGGAAAAACAACCUCACAUGGCAAACACGUAGACCUACACACUGGCUGCAGAGGGGGACAGGGGGAAAAGAAAAGUUUUGAAGAAAACACAAAAAAGGCCAGUGGUACAGGAUGGGAGAGAUCAGAGUGAAGAAUAUUAAUGCUUAGACAUGAAAUGUUGUUUUACGUUUUCAUUCAACGCUCGAUGCCAGAGGCCCGAUUAUGAUCUGUGCUAAUGUAUCGUAACAGGUCUUCAUCGUUUUAAUGACAUGUUUAUGCAUGUCUGUGGAGGUAUUCACUUUCAGUUCAACCUGUCUGCAACAAUUGCCGUCCAACCAUUUCAAAAUGUCACACCGAGGGGUGUGUCUGUUCAAAGAUAUUCCUAUUAAAUUUUUGAUUUUGUCGAUUUUGAUUUCCCUUUAACAACUAUAAGGAAAUUAAGAUAUAACUUAAUUCAAACUAUGUAUUUAAAACCUUUUUUGCUGUUAGCAUGAAUUAUUUAGCUAAUUUUUCAGUUUCUGAAAGACAUUCAGAAACUGAAAAACUGAAUACAUUCAGUCUUUUGGUUAUGUGCUUGGAAGUGUUGCUCUCUCUCACUCUUUUGCAGCCAAAGCAAACCAUGUGGAGAAAUACCUUCAGUUUUUCCUCUGACUGCAUUUUGAUACAGUCGAAGUUUGAUAAAUUAGUCUUUUUCACCUUGUGACCAGCGAGUGCUGUUCUUCAUGGCACAUUUACUAUAAAUUACCCAAGCUUAAACAUAAGAGCUUUGUGCCUUAAAUACAUGCUUAGUUAAUUAGUGAAUCCUUAAAUUCACAUUAAAUUCAAAGUUGUUGUAGAUAUCAAUUAUCUGCAGCUAAAAUGAGAUAAAGGUAAGCAUUUUCUAUUCUUUUAUGACUGUAUUGUUCAUAAAAGCAAUAGAAAACCUGUUUGUGCCACAAAUUACUGUUUGAAUAUAUUUGUUCAUUUAUUUUUUACCCCUUAUUCAUGCUGACUUGGGCAAUUGCCCAAAAGCUUUUGCAUGUAACAAAAUCCACCACUGCGUGUAAAUUUUAAUACCGUUUUUAGCAGCAGCAGUUUCAUUGUGGAAAACACACGACAGACGCACGCAAAAAUAAAUUAUUGAACUACUUGAAAAUAAUUUUGACUCUCAACGUCAAUUUUACGCUGUAAAUAUAUACAUUUGUAUGAUAGCAGGUGAUUCAUUUCUCAAGUUUUUAAAAGUAAAGCAAAUUACAAAAGUGAAGAGCAGCAUUAUCUAAAAAAAAUGUGAUAUUUAUGAUAGACUGGAAAAGCAGGAUUUUCAAAUUCCAGUUGAAGGAAGAAGUUGCUGCUUAUUUGCAUUUUGUUUGUUGGCAUCACACUAAAUCGUUUGACGCUCACGAUAUCUACUUAUGACCAGCCAUGGUAAAUAUGAAAAUAACAACAACAAAAAAAAAUUAUUAUUAUUAUCUAGUUCUGGUAAUGGUAAACACCUCAACGAUUAGCAAAUCCUUUGGGAUUUGAGGCUCGUUUAGGCCCCCUGCUGGCCUGGAGGCCUCAGGCAGAACCUUCAUUUGCUUCUGCUUCAGACCAACUGUCCUGGUUUCUUAGGUAUUUACAUUAAUAUCAUCUAAAAACCAUAUAAACUAUCAUUUCUACCGAAGAGGUAAAUUUUGAACAAGAGAUUUGCAAAUGUUUUGUAAGUGAAAGAAAGUAUUUGAUGAAUAUAAAACAAUGCCUAGAUGGAGCACAUCUUUCUGACAUAGUCAAAAGAAGGAAAUUAUUCCUGUUUCCAAAUCCCUCCUUUCUAAUCUGCAUACAGUUUCUUUUAGUAAGUACUUACUCAUAGUGAUGUAACACAUGUACUUAAGCGACACAAGUAAAACAGCAACAAAGCGUCAUAAGUUGCAUCAAAAAUCACCUUCUCAAACAUGUAAGGUUGUCUUUAAUGAAAUCAUUCUGGUCCAUUUUGAUGGACUUUAAGAGGCCGUUCUCUGCUCUGGGUAAAACUUGGGAGAGUGUGAGCUCUCGUUCAUCUAACACUGUUUCAGUAAUCUCGUCAUCUGCAUGAAUAAACACUGUCUGUGUUUGCAUUUUUAGCUUUCAUGUUUGCUUGUCUAAGAGAGAGAGGUGCUGCCUCACUGUGACAGCGGAGGGAGGGCUGAACAUCUAUGAAAAAGGUUCAGAUGACGUCUCGGUGAGCUGCAAACACACAAACUCUCCAGCUCUAUUCUUCACGUCGGCCUGGCUGGUGAUGGUACCAACAUCCAUGGAGAACAAAGUUGGUUAUCUUUGUCCACGAAAAACCUAUACAGGCGUCUAAGGAGCAUCCUUUCGGUGUGGAGAGAAGCAGUGACUCUAUUCUUACCUCCCACCUGAUGAAGGAGCUCCUCACUCAGUUUUAAGAAAUGAAAACUGCAACAACAAAAUUUUGUUUCGUUUGAGUGCAGAUUUAUUCGACUCACAUCGCUGUCGUCCUGGCAGUCGCCACAGAUGCAUCCUAAGCA